AACGAACGCUGGCGGCAUGCCUAACACAUGCAAGUCGAACGAGACCUUCGGGUCUAGUGGCGCACGGGUGCGUAACGCGUGGGAACCUGCCCUUAGGUUCGGAAUAACUCCCCGAAAGGGGUGCUAAUACCGGAUAAUGUCUUCGGACCAAAGAUUUAUCGCCUUUGGAUGGGCCCGCGUUGGAUUAGCUAGUUGGUAGGGGAAAAGCCUACCAAGGCGACGAUCCAUAGCUGGUCUGAGAGGAUGAUCAGCCACACUGGGACUGAGACACGGCCCAGACUCCUGCGGGAGGCAGCAGUGGGGAAUAUUGGACAAUGGGCGAAAGCCUGAUCCAGCAAUGCCGCGUAAGUGAUGAAGGCCUUAGGGUCGUAAAGCUCUUUUACCCGGGAUGAUAAUGACAGUACCGGGAGAAUAAGCUCCGGCUAACUCCGUG
rnacentral:rRNA from 1 species